rnacentral:misc_RNA from 1 species
CGCACAUUGCGCCCCUUGGUAUUCCAUGGGGCAUGCCUGUUCGAGCGUCAUCUACACCCUCAAGCUCUGCUUGGUGUUGGGCGUCUGUCCCGCCCCCGCGCGUGGACUCGCCCCAAAUGCAUUGGCAGCGUUCCUUGCCCCCUCUCGCGCAGCACAUUGCGCUUCUCGAGGGCGGCUCCCGGGACGCGAUCCAGCAAGAUGACCACCGUCUUUGACCUCGGAUCAGGUAGGGAUACCCGCUGAACUUAA